rfam:Otolemur garnettii contig123105, whole genome shotgun sequence.
GCCAGGCGUUGUGGUGGGGGCCUGUGGUCCCAGCUACUUGGGAGGCGGAGGCAGGAGACUCGCUUGAGCCCAGGAGUUGGAGGUUGCUGUGAGCUGUGGUGCCACAGCACUCUACCCAGGGGGAUAGCUUGAGGCUCUGUCUCAAAAAAAAAAUAAUAAUAAUAAUUACCCGAGCCUAGAACCUAACCUCAUUAUAUGUCACAAUGGAAAAAUUAUUAUUAUUUUUUUUUUUUUUUUGAGACAGAGCCUCAAGCUGUCCCCCUGGGUAGAGUGCCGUGGCAUUACAGCUCACAGCAACCUCCAACUCCUGGGCUCAAGCGAGUCUCCUGCCUCUG